UACAGAGGUCUCAAGCGUUGUUCGGAUUCAUUGGGCGUAAAGGGUGUGUAGGUGGCGCCGUAAGUCGGGUGUGAAAUUUCGGAGCUUAACUCCGAAACUGCAUUCGAUACUGCGGUGCUUGAGGACUGGAGAGGAGACUGGAAUUCAUGGUGUAGCAGUGAAAUGCGUAGAGAUCAUGAGGAAGACCAGUGGCGAAGGCGGGUCUCUGGACAGUUCCCGACACUGAGACACGAAGGCCAGGGGAGCAAACGGG
rnacentral:rRNA from 1 species